rnacentral:rRNA from 1 species
GACGAACGCUGGCGGCGUGCCUAACACAUGCAAGUCGAACGGAAAGGCCCUGCUUGCAGGGUACUCGAGUGGCGAACGGGUGAGUAACACGUGGGUGAUCUGCCCUGCACUUCGGGUUAAGUCUGGGAAACUGGGCCUAAUACCGGAUAGGAGCCAUUUUUAGUGUGAUGGUUGGAAAGUUUUUUCGGUGUAGGAUGAGCUCGCGGCCUAUCAGCUUGUUGGUGGGGUAAUGGCCUACCAAGGCGGCGACGGGUAGCCGGCCUGAGAGGGUGGACGGCCACAUUGAGUCUGAGGGGCGGCACAGGCUGCGACUGGUGGCAGAAGUGGGGAAGAUUGAACAAUGGGCGCAGGCCGGGUGCAGCGGCGCCGCGUAGGGGAUAACGGUCUUCGGGUUGUAGACUCCUUGCGCUAGGAACGAUGCUUGUUUUGACGGUACCUAGAUAAGAAGCACCGGCUAACUACGUG